AUUGAACGCUGGCGGCAGGCCUAACACAUGCAAGUCGAGCGGAGCGGGGGACGGGUGAGUAAUGCCUAGGAAUCUGCAUGGUAGUGGGUGAUAAAGUACGGAAACGGGAGCUAAUACCGAAUACUAUCAGAUGAGCCUAGGUCGUAUUAGCUAGUUGGUGGGGUAAAGGCCUACAAAGGCGACGAUCCGUAACUGGUCUGUGAGGAUGAUCAGUCACACGUGAACUGAGACACGGUCCAGAUUCCUCCGGGAGGCAGCAGUGGGAAAUUUUGGACAAUGAGCGAAAGCUUGAUCCAGCCAUGCCGCGUGUGGGAAGAAGGUCUUCGGAUUGUAAAGUACUUUAAGUUGGGAGGUGUUACCAACAGAAUAAGCACCGGCUAACUUCGUGCCAGCAGCCGCGGUAAUUC
rnacentral:rRNA from 1 species